AAAACCUAAAAAAAAAUUAACUGGAAACUAUUUUUGCUCAUUAAUGGAUAUGUAUGUAUGUAUGUAUUUCUCGAUAUUUUCGAUGUUGUUACAUAUGUUUAUCGGAAUUUUUAUCGACACAAUUUUUGGGUGUACUCAUUCGUAUUUUAUUAUCACGUUUAUAUCAACUCCAGAUAUGCAGUAUAUGGAGGUGAAAUAGUAAGCUUCAAUUGAGAUCAAUUCGUGUACAAAAUGAGAAUUUAGUUGUGUCCGAGACAAGCGCUAGCUUUUGUAAGAACAAUGCAGCCGGAUCACAAUUUAUAGUUUCUCAUCAUGUCCGUCCUGAUUGAUGGCGCUGAGGAAUGGACAAUGGCAACAUCCGAUGAGACAGAUGAAAAUGCUGCAGCUUUGAAAUUAUUCGAUGUGGUACCCGCUGAUGGUGGUGGAGGAAGAAGAAGGCAAACUCUAAGCUGGAAAUUACAGGUAGAGAGCGAAUUAGCUUAAUUCGGUGUUCAUAAUUGGUUCCCGCCGACGAGAAGGAUGAAGGACUGGCUUGUCGCAAACCAAGAAAAAGGCAAUUACGAAGAAUAUAUAAAUGGCGCUGGAUAAAUUUGUAAAAAUUUCCCCUUUUAGUUUCUUUUCCCAAGGAAUGGGCAAAA